GAUGAACGCUGGCGGCGUGCCUAAUACAUGCAAGUCGAGCGAACGGACGAGGAGCUUGCUCCUCUGACGUUAGCGGCGGACGGGUGAGUAACACGUGGAUAACCUACCUAUAAGACUGGGAAACUUCGGGAAACCGGAGCUAAUACCGGAUAAUAUAUUGAACCGCAUGGUUCAAUAGUGAAAGACGGUUUUGCUGUCACUUAUAGAUGGAUCCGCGCCGCAUUAGCUAGUUGGUAAGGUAACGGCUUACCAAGGCAACGAUGCGUAGCCGACCUGAGAGGGUGAUCGGCCACACUGGAACUGAGACACGGUCCAGACUCCUACGGGAGGCAGCAGUAGGGAAUCUUCCGCAAUGGGCGAAAGCUUGACGGAGCAACGCCGCGUGAGUGAUGAAGGUCUUCGGAUCGUAAAACUCUGUUAUUAGGGAAGAACAAAUGUGUAAGUAACUAUGCACGUCUUGACGGUACCUAAUCAGAAAGCCACGGCUAACUACGUG
rnacentral:rRNA from 1 species